rnacentral:lncRNA from 1 species
AUUUAAAUGUUCAUUACGUAGAACUGAAUUCAAAAUUUUUGGACAAUUUUUCUAGCGGUAAGGGAACAACCAUUUGUUUUCAAAAGGGGGUGGGGUGGAAAUGGAAAUAUUCCGUUCCCCAAUUUGAUAAAAAAAAAAGUGGUCAUACACAUGAUAAAAAAAAAUUAUUCUGAAUCAAGAGUUUCCCCAUACAUUAUAGUGUUAAACAUUGAAAAAAAAGUAUUUGACCACCAGCAUCGAAAAAAAAGGAAUAAAAACGUACGCGCG